UUGCCCUCCUGCUUCCAUAUUGUUCCACGUGGACAACUUACUUGCAAAGCUUCCCAAUUUACUUCAUGGAAUCACGUUUCUCUCUCAUUUUUUCUCUUUCACGUUUCUCUUUCUCUUACUUUUUCUCUUUUUCUCUCUUUUUCUCUUUCUCUCUACAGAAGGGUUGUUCUUCCUCUUCUUCAAUCUUCUCCAUCUUCCUCUUCCUCGAUCUUCUCCAUAAAUCUUCUUCCUCUUAUCUCUCUUCCUUCUAUUUGUUAUUCUCUUUCUCUAUCGUUGAGAUGAAACUCUGAUUUCUGAUUAUGUAAGCGAUGCACAAAAUUAGGGUUUCAAAAAUCUUAUUUAGCCUAAAAGAAGAAACACAAAAUCAAAACUUUGGUGAAAACACUGGUAUCCCUUUUUGUAUUCUACCAUGCUGAGGAUUGUUGAAGUCUAAUGUAGUGAUUGAAGCAUUUCAAGAUAGGGCUUCUAGGAUGAAUGUUGUUGUUGCUCAAAAUCUAAGCAAGUUCACUAAUCUUGAAUACGGUUUUCAAGAACUCUCGGCUGACUUAGUUGAGGCAGCAGCCGCUCACUGCCAGUUAAUUGUUGUUUCCAAUUGUUCAGAGUUUGAGAAGUUCGGCUGAAUUGACUAGGUUUCAGGUAGCUACUCGUGGAGGUGGUUUAUCAACUAUCAUUGUUGUUAGUUUGGCUGUAACUGGUAUAGAAGUCCUUUAUUACCAUCAAGAUUGAAGCAUGUUCCUAGGUAUUAAUUUUACCAUACUUUCAUAUUUUCAUGUUAAAUUGGUUUAAAUGUUGGUCACCAAUAAUAUUGUUCAAUUACAAUUAGUCAUCGAAGAUUCGAUUUCG